rnacentral:rRNA from 1 species
AGAGUCUGAUCCUGGCUCAGGAUGAACGCUGGCGGCGUGCUUAACACAUGCAAGUCGAACGAAGCACUUUGGACAGAUUCUUCGGAUGAAGUCCUUGGUGACUGAGUGGCGGAACGGGUGAAGUAACGCGUGGGUAACCUGCCUCAUACAGGGGGAUAACAACCAGAAAUGGUUGCUAAUACCGCAUAAGCGCACAGGACCGCAUGGUCCGGUGUGAAAAACUCCGGUGGUAUAAGAUGGACCCGCGUUGGAUUAGCUAGUUGGCAGGGUAACGGCCUACCAAGGCGACGAUCCAUAGCCGGCCUGAGAGGGUGAACGGCCACAUUGGGACUGAGACACGGCCCAGACUCCUACGGGAGGCAGCAGUGGGGAAUAUUGCACAAUGGGGGAAACCCUGAUGCAGCGACGCCGCGUGAAGGAAGAAGUAUCUCGGUAUGUAAACUUCUAUCAGCAGGGAAGAUAGUGACGGUACCUGACUAAGAAGCCCCGGCUAACUACGUGCCAGCAGCCGCGGUAAUACGUAGGGGGCAAGCGUUAUCCGGAUUUACUGGGUGUAAAGGGAGCGUAGACGGAAUGGCAAGUCUGAUGUGAAAGGCCGGGGCUCAACCCCGGGACUGCAUUGGAAACUGUCAAUCUAGAGUACCGGAGGGGUAAGUGGAAUUCCUAGUGUAGCGGUGAAAUGCGUAGAUAUUAGGAGGAACACCAGUGGCGAAGGCGGCUUACUGGACGGUAACUGACGUUGAGGCUCGAAAGCGUGGGGAGCAAACAGGAAAAGAUACCCUGGUAGUCCACGCCGUAAACGAU